AUUGAACGCUGGCGGCAGGCCUAACACAUGCAAGUCGAGCGAGCUGCGGACGGGUGAGUAAUGUCUGGGAAACUGCCUGAUGGAGGGGGAUAACUACUGGAAACGGUAGCUAAUACCGCAUACCAUCAGAUGUGCCCAGCUGGGAUUAGCUAGUAGGUUGGGUAACGGCUCACCUAGGCGACGAUCCCUAGCUGGUCUGAGAGGAUGACCAGCCACAAUGGAACUGAGAGAGGGUACAGACUGCUACGGGAGGCAGCAGUGGGGAAUAUUGCACAAUGGGAGCAAGCCUGAUGCAGCCAUGCCGCGUGUGUGAAGAAGGCCUUCGGGUUGUAAAGCACUGUCAGCGGGGAGGCGUUACCCGCAGAAGAAGCACCGGCUAACUCCGUGCCAGCAGCCGCGGUAAUAC
rnacentral:rRNA from 1 species